AACAUGCAAGUCGAACGGUAACAGGCCGCAAGGUGCUGACGAGUGGCGAACGGGUGAGUAAUGCAUCGGAACGUGCCCAGUCGUGGGGGAUAACGCAGCGAAAGCUGUGCUAAUACCGCAUACGAUCUGUGGAUGAAAGCGGGGGACCUUCGGGCCUCGCGCGAUUGGAGCGGCCGAUGUCAGAUUAGGUAGUUGGUGGGGUAAAGGCUCACCAAGCCAACGAUCUGUAGCUGGUCUGAGAGGACGACCAGCCGCACUGGGACUGAGACACGGCCCAGACUCCUACGGGAGGCAGCAGUGGGGAAUUUUGGACAAUGGGCGCAAGCCUGAUCCAGCAAUGCCGCGUGCAGGAAGAAGGCCUUCGGGUUGUAAACUGCUUUUGUACGGAACGAAACGGUCUGGGUUAAUACCCUGGGCUAAUGACGGUACCGUAAGAAUAAGCACCGGCUAACUACGUGCCAGCAGCCGCGGUAAUACGUAGGGUGCAAGCGUUAAUCGGAAUUACUGGGCGUAAAGCGUGCGCAGGCGGUGAUGUAAGACAGGCGUGAAAUCCCCGGGCUCAACCUGGGAAUUGCGCUUGUGACUGCAUCGCUGGAGUGCGGCAGAGGGGGAUGGAAUUCCGCGUGUAGCAGUGAAAUGCGUAGAUAUGCGGAGGAACACCGAUGGCGAAGGCAAUCCCCUGGGCCUGCACCGACGCUCA
rnacentral:rRNA from 1 species